rnacentral:rRNA from 1 species
AUUGAACGCUGGCGGCAGGCCUAACACAUGCAAGUCGAGCGGAUGAAGGGAGCUUGCUCCUGGAUUCAGCGGCGGACGGGUGAGUAAUGCCUAGGAAUCUGCCUGGUCGUGGGGGAUAACGUCCGGAAACGGGCGCUAAUACCGCAUACGUCCUGAGGUAGAAAGUGGGGGAUCUUCGGACCUCACGCUAUCAGAUGAGCCUAGGUCGGAUUAGCUAGUUGGUGGGGUAAAGGCCUACCAAGGCGACGAUCCGUAACUGGUCUGAGAGGAUGAUCAGUCACACUGGAACUGAGACACGGUCCAGACUCCUACGGGAGGCAGCAGUGGGGAAUAUUGGACAAUGGGCGAAAGCCUGAUCCAGCCAUGCCGCGUGUGUGAAGAAGGUCUUCGGAUUGUAAAGCACUUUAAGUUGGGAGGAAGGGAAGUAAGUUAAUACCUGGCUGUUUUGACGGUACCAACAGAAUAAGCAACGGCUAACUUCGUG